AGUGAACGCUGGCGGUAGGCCUAACACAUGCGAGUCGAACGGCAGCACAGUAAGAGCUUGCUCUUACGGGUGGCGAGUGGCGGACGGGUGAGGAAUACAUCGGAAUCUACUUUUUCGUGGGGGAUAACGUAGGGAAACUUACGCUAACACCGCAUACGACCUACGGGUGAAAGCAGGGGAUCUUCGGACCUUGCGCGAUUGAAUGAGCCGAUGUCGGAUUAGCUAGUUGGCGGGGUAAAGGCCCACCAAGGCGACGAUCCGUAGCUGGUCUGAGAGGAUGAUCAGCCACACUGGAACUGAGACACGGUCCAGACUCCUACGGGAGGCAGCAGUGGGGAAUAUUGGACAAUGGGCGCAAGCCUGAUCCAGCCAUACCGCGUGGGUGAAGAAGGCCUUCGGGUUGUAAAGCCCUUUUGUUGGGAAAGAAAAGCAGCAGGUUAAUACCCCGCUGUUCUGACGGUACCCAAAGAAUAAGCACCGGCUAACUUCGUG
rnacentral:rRNA from 1 species